UACAGAGGUGGCAAGCGUUGUUCGGAUUCAUUGGGCGUAAAGGGUGCGUAGGCGGUGAGGUAAGUCGGAUGUGAAAUCCCAAGGCUUAACCUUGGAAGUGCAUCCGAAACUACCUCGCUUGAGGACUGGAAGGGAGACUGGAAUUCUCGGUGUAGCGGUGAAAUGCGUAGAUAUCGAGAGGAACACCUGUGGCGAAGGCGGGUCUCUGGACAGUUCCUGACGCUGAGGCACGAAAGCCAGGGGAGCAAACGGG
rnacentral:rRNA from 1 species